UACGAAGGGGGCUAGCGUUGCUCGGAAUCACUGGGCGUAAAGCGCACGUAGGCGGCUUGGCAAGUCGGAUGUGAAAGCCCUCGGCUCAACCAAGGAAGUGCAUCCGAAACUGCUGAGCUUGAGUACUUAAGAGGAUCGCGGAAUUCCCGGUGUAGAGGUGAAAUUCGUAGAUAUCGGGAGGAACACCAGUGGCGAAGGCGGCGAUCUGGGAAGAUACUGACGCUGAGGUGCGAAAGCGUGGGGAGCAAACAGG
rnacentral:rRNA from 1 species